AGUGAACGCUGGCGGUAGGCCUAACACAUGCAAGUCGAACGGCAGCACAGUAAGAGCUUGCUCUUACGGGUGGCGAGUGGCGGACGGGUGAGGAAUACAUCGGAAUCUACUUUUUCGUGGGGGAUAACGUAGGGAAACUUACGCUAAUACCGCAUACGACCUACGGGUGAAAGCAGGGGAUCUUCGGACCUUGCGCGAUUGAAUUAGCCGAUGUCGGAUUAGCUAGUUGGCGGGGUAAAGGCCCACCACGGCGACGAUCCGUAGCUGGUCUGAGAGGGGGAUCCGCCACACUGGAACUGAGACACGGUACAGACUCCUACGGGAGGCAGCAGUGGGGAAUAUUGGACAAUGGGCGCAAGCCUGAUCCAGCCAUACCGCGUGGGUGAAGAAGGCCUUCGGGUUGUAAAGCCCUUUUGUUGGGAAAGAAAAGCAGCAGGUUAAUACCCCGCUGUUCUGACGGUACCCAAAGAAUAAGCACCGGCUAACUUCGUG
rnacentral:rRNA from 1 species